rnacentral:lncRNA from 1 species
UUUUUUUUUUUUUUUUUGGUGGGAAACAGCCAUUUUCUUAUAUGAUGAUGAUCAACAUAAUGCAUAGGUUCAGAAAUUUGUAUUGUUAAAGUCAGGGAUAAAGUUGUUUUACUUAGGAAAUACUUUAGUUUUAUUUGGUGAUAAAAAACAAGCUGAUGCUUAUUAUUUAUGUAAUAGCACUAAGUCCUGUUUCUCCCCCCUUUACUGAACUGUGCCAUGAAGUCUAUCCUCUUGAUGGAGGAGGGUAAGGUGUCAGCUUUGCUUCUGCAGAAUGUAAAAAAUUAUAUAGCAAUGUUUUAAAAGUUCCAAAUUAACAGAUUCAUUUUUUUAAAAGAUUUUGUUUAUUUAUUUGAGAGCAAGUGAGCAAGCGAGCAAGUGAUGGGGGUGGAACAGAGGGAGAGGGACAAGCAGACUCUGCCCUCACUGUGGAGCAGAUAGGAGGCUCCAUCACACAACCCCGAGAUCAUGACUUGAUCCCAAAUUCAGACUCGGCUGCUUAACGGACUGAGUCACCCAGAUGCUGCCAAAGUAACACUUUUAACACACACACAAAUCACACUGCAAUGUAAUUGUGCUAUUCAUUCAUAAGCUAACUAUAGAAUCCACAAAAGGCUUGAAUUGGUGGCUCACUUAAGCACCAUGGUAACAGCACUCAAAGUUUAAAGUUGUAGGAGCGGAGCCUCUCCGGCCAGUAGGCCUGGCAAAGGGCAAAUGCAGAACCUUGCCCUGCCCUCAAAGAUCCACUUCAGUCCUCAGAGCCCUCGAGAUGAGCCUUGAUGGCAAGCUUCGGACUUUGGGUAGAAAUGGGAGUAGAUUUUUUUUUCAUCUUCUUUUAUUUCCUCAACUUUGUUGCUUCAUGAUAUUUAUUUAAAAAAAAAAAAAAGGAAAAGGAAAAGAAAGAAGUUUUCCUUCAGGGUAUGACAUUUGACCUGGCACCUCUCCAAGUGUCACGUUCCUUGGUGUAAAAUGGAAAUAUUAGGACCACCUUACCGUGCAGAGAGUAGGGGCUCCUCGGUUGUGCCGUUCCUAAGAACCCUGCCCGACGUAGCUGUUUCUGGAAGAGGGUGCCGGUUCCCUUCACCUAUUAGUCAAGUGAUUUCCCAUCUCUCUGGGUCCCAACUUCGCCUCCGCCCAAUGGCUUUGCGGACGUCACUUUUCAAUGCUAUCUCCAUCGGACUCCUCAGCCUGUCACAGACCAAUGCACAGGGCUGUGGUAAAGGGUGGCUUUUCCUCAGGGAGAUGGCUGGUUCUGCGGACAGAACUGUGGUUCCUCCGACUCACGCUGCCCGGGAGGUCGU